rnacentral:rRNA from 1 species
AACGCUAGCUACAGGCUUAACACAUGCAAGUCGAACGGAUUCUGGAUUCGUCUGGAAUUAGUGGCAAACGGGUGAGUAACACGUAUCCAACCACCCUGCGACUCGGGGAUAGCCUCUUGAAAGGGAGAUUAAUAUCCGAUGUACUGUUUUUGGUGCAUGCCAUUUUCAGUAAAGUUUUUUUACGGUCGCUGACGGGGAUGCGUUCCAUUAGAUAGUCGGUGUGGUAACGGCUCACCGAGUCUAUGAUGGAUAGGGGUUCUGAGAGGAAGGUCCCCCACAUUGGAACUGCGACACGGUCCAAACUCCUACGGGAGGCAGCAGUGAGGAAUAUUGGUCAAUGGGCGAAAGCCUGAACCAGCUAUGUAGCGUGAAGGAUGACUGCCCUAUGGGUUGUAAACUUCUUUUGUUCGGGAAUAACAGACUUCACUUGUGGAGUUUUGCAUGUACCGCUCGAAUAAGGAUCGGCUAACUCCGUGCCAGCAGCCGCGGUAAUACGGAGGAUCCUAGCGUUAUUCGGAUUUAUUGGGUUUAAAGGGAGCGUAGGCGGGGGGUCAAGUCAGCUGUGAAAUACGUACGCUUAACGUUCGUCUUGCAGUUGAAACUGGUUUUCUUGAGUGCGUAUGAGGCAGGCGGAAUUCGUGGUGUAGCGGUGAAAUGCUUAGAUAUCACGAAGAACUCCGAUUG